CCUACGGGAGGCAGCAGUGGGGAAUAUUGCACAAUGGGGGAAACCCUGAUGCAGCAACGCCGCGUGAGUGAGGAAGGAUUUCGGUAUGUAAAGCUCUAUCAGUAGAGAAUAGAAUAGAAGUAACUUGAAAAAGAAGCCCCGGCUAACUACGUACAGGCAGCCGCGGUAAUACGUAGGUGGCAAGCUGUAUCCGGAUUUAAUGGGGGUAAAGGGAGCGUAGACGGGAAGGCAAGUCAGAAGUGAAACCACAAGGCUCAACCAUGGGACUGCUUUUGAAACUGUCAAACUAGAGUACGGGAGAGGUAAGAGGAAUUCCUGGUGUAGCGGUGAAAUGCGUAGAUAUUAGGAGGAACACCCGUGGCGAAGGCGUCUUACUGGACCGCAACUGACGUUGAGGCUCGAAAGCGUGGGGAGCAAACAGGAUUAGAUACCCUUGUAGUC
rnacentral:rRNA from 1 species